CAGAGUUGUUAGAGGUGCAGGAGGCCUUUUUCAUCUGGCCACCCUUCUGCUACACAACAAAGUGAAGGGACCUCCUUAGGUGGGCUUGGUUGAAGCCAAGAGACUGCGCUGAAGAUGCUCAGAAGCAAAAGAACACGAAAGACACAUCUUGAUUUAUUUCUGGAUAGGAAGCACAAGGAUGGAAAAAGGAGUAGCAGCAGCAGCAGCAGCAGCAGCAGCAACAACUAGAAGACGGACGUCAUGAGUCUCCCUUGACCUAUUUGAGCUGAUGUCCUUGUCUCUUUGUUUGCUUGUCUGGAUUUCCACAAAUCAUCCCAAUAUAUCCAUCCAGAUGGACCAAUCAGUUCUGUAGAGCACUCCCUGCUUUUAGCUGCUGCUGGGAUUUCCUUCCGCUCUGGCUGCAAAAAAGGUCAGCCAGCAACUAGGCAAGAAGGGUCCUGAAGUGGAGGAGAAAGCAGGUCAUUGCCAAACAAACUCUCUUCUGACAGGCUACACAAUGCAGAUUGUCAGAUCCCAUUGCCCCUGGGGAGGCUUCUGCAUAAUGACCUAAGGGUUUGGGGACCCUGCUCCAUCCUGGUGGAGGUGUCAAAGCGGGAGGGCAAAGGUGGAGGCUUCCCCUCCCUCAUGUUUCAGUCAUCAUGUGAGGAUUCCCUGGAAACACCUAUAUUUCUGGCAGACUCACUGGUUCUAUAUAGGCUGAGGGGCUAUUUGUUGACUCUCCAGUUUGUUGACUCUCCAGGGCCUAUCAGAGGGUGAGUGAGUCGGGGGGGGGAUUUGGCCCUCAGCCUGAAACUCAAAGGGGGCUUCCGUUUUAGACACUUCAUAACU